rnacentral:rRNA from 1 species
AUUGAACGCUGGCGGCAGGCCUAACACAUGCAAGUCGAGCGGAUGAAGGGAGCUUGCUCCUGGAUUCAGCGGCGGACGGGUGAGUAAUGCCUAGGAAUCUGCCUGGUAGUGGGGGAUAACGUCCGGAAACGGGCGCUAAUACCGCAUACGUCCUGAGGGAGAAAGUGGGGGAUCUUCGGACCUCACGCUAUCAGAUGAGCCUAGGUCGGAUUAGCUAGUUGGUGGGGUAAAGGCCUACCAAGGCGACGAUCCGUAACUGGUCUGAGAGGAUGAUCAGGCAAGAGGGAACGAGAAGCCGCACCGGGACCCAGAGGGGGGCCAGAUUGGGAAAGUUGGGAGAAGGGGGGAAAGCUGAACCAAGGGCGGGCGCGGGUUGGAGGAAGGUCUCGGGAUUGAAAACGACUUUCGGGUGGGAAAAAGGGUAGAAAAUUAACACCUCGUGUUUUGACGGUACCCAAAAAAAAAGCACCGGCUAACUUCGUG